rnacentral:rRNA from 1 species
GCCUAAUACAUGCAAGUCGAGCGAACGGACGAGAAGCUUGCUUCUCUGAUGUUAGCGGCGGACGGGUGAGUAACACGUGGAUAACCUACCUAUAAGACUGGGAUAACUUCGGGAAACCGGAGCUAAUACCGGAUAAUAUUUUGAACCGCAUGGUUCAAAAGUGAAAGACGGUCUUGCUGUCACUUAUAGAUGGAUCCGCGCUGCAUUAGCUAGUUGGUAAGGUAACGGCUUACCAAGGCAACGAUGCAUAGCCGACCUGAGAGGGUGAUCGGCCACACUGGAACUGAGACACGGUCCAGACUCCUACGGGAGGCAGCAGUAGGGAAUCUUCCGCAAUGGGCGAAAGCCUGACGGAGCAACGCCGCGUGAGUGAUGAAGGUCUUCGGAUCGUAAAACUCUGUUAUUAGGGAAGAACAUAUGUGUAAGUAACUGUGCACAUCUUGACGGUACCUAAUCAGAAAGCCACGGCUAACUACGUGCCAGCAGCCGCGGUAAUACGU